CAGUUUUGUUUUGGGCGGCUCGGCCCGCGAAAGCAACCGGCCGCCACAAACAUUUCUACCCUUGAAUUUGAGCACCUUCGUUUCCUCGGCGGGUCCGCCCGCCAGCAGAGGACCCCAUUGAACUCUUUGUAGUAGCAGUAUUUGUCUGAAAUAUAAAGCAAUAAUCA
rnacentral:misc_RNA from 1 species